rnacentral:lncRNA from 1 species
UUGGUUUUCUCUUGAAGAGGAAAGGGUGAUGCAGCAAAGUAGCGUAAGUAUUUCCCUCAGUUUUUGAGAACCAAGGUAUCAAUCCAGUAGGAGGCCACACGCAAGUCCCUCGUACCUACACAAACAAAUAAGAACCUUGCAACCAACGCGAUAAACGAGUUGUCAAUCCCUUCACGGCCACUUGCAAAAGUGAGAUCUGAUAGAGAUGCUAAGAUAAUAUUUUUGGUAUUUUUAUGAUAAAGAUUGAAAGUAAAGAUUGCAAAAUAAACGGCGGCAUAAAUAGCUAGUUGACGGGAGAUUAAUAUGAUGGAAAAUAGACCCGGGGCCAUAGGUUUCACUAGUGGCUUCUCUCAAGAUAUCAUAAGUAUUACGGUGGGUGAACGAAUUACUGUCGAGCAAUUGAUAGAAUAGUGCAUAGUUAUGAGAAUAUCUAGGCAUGAUCAUGUAUAUAGGCAUCACGUCCGCGACAAGUAGACUGAAACGAUUCUGCAUCUACUACUAUUACUCCACACAUCGACCGCUAUCCAGCAUGCAUCUAGAGUAUUAAGUUCAUAAGAACAGAGUAACGCAUUAGGCAAGAUGACAUGAUGUAGAGGGAUAAACUCAAGCAAUAUGAUAUAAACCCCAUCUUUUUAUCCUCGAUGGCAACAAUACAAUACGGGUUGUUUCCCCUUCUGUCACCGGGAUCGAGCACCGCAUGAUUGAACCCAAAGCUAAGCACUUCUCCCAUUGCAAGAAAGAUCAAUCUAGUAGGCCAAACCAAACUGAUAAUUUGAAGAGACUUGCAAAGAUAUCAAAUCAUACAUAAAAGAAUUCAAAGGAGAUUCAAAUAUUCUUCAUAGAUAAUCUUGAUAAUAAACCCACAAUUCAUCGGAUCUCGACAAACACACCGCAAAAAGAGUUACAUCGAAUAGAUCUCCAAGAAGAUCGAGGAGAACUUUGUAUUGAGAUCUAGAGAGAGAGAAGAAGCCAUCUAGCUAAUAACUAUGGACCCGAAGGUCUGAGGCAAACUACUCACACAUCAUCGGAGAGGCUAUGGUGUUGAUGUAGAAGCCCUCCGUGAUCGAUUCCCCCUCCGGCGGAGCGCCGGAAAAGGCCCCAAGAUGGGAUCUCACGGGUACAGAAGGUUGCGGCGGUGGAAAUAGGGUUUCGUGGUGCUCCUGGAUGUUUUCGGGGUAUAUGGAUAUAUAUAUAUAGGAGGAAGAAGUAGGUCGGUGGAGCUGCGGGAGGCCCACAAGGGUGGGGGCGCGCCUAGGGGGGCAGGCACGUCUCCCUGCCUCGUGGCCUCCUCGCUUCUUUCUUGACGUCCACUCCAAGUCCUCUGGAUCACGUUUGUUCCAAAAAUAACUCUCCCGAAGGUUUCAUUCCGUUUGGACUCCGUUUGAUAUUCCUUUUCUGCGAAACACUGAAAUAGGCAAAAAACAGCAAUUUGCACUGGGCCUUCGGUUAAUAGGUUAGUCCCAAAAAUAAUAUAAAAGUGCUUAGUAAAGCCCAUUAAACAUCCAAAACAGAUAAUAUAAUAGCAUGGAACAAUAAAAAAAUUAUAGAUACGUUGGAGACGUAUCAGUCUACAAAGCUCGACUUGUUGUGAAAGGUUUUCGACAAGUUCAAGGAGUUGACUACGAUGAGACCUUCUCACCUGUAGCUAUGCUUAAGUCCGUCCGAAUCAUGUUAGCAAUUACUGCAUUUUAUGAUUAUGAAAUUUGGCAAAUGGAUGUAAAAUCUGCAUUCCUGAAUGGAUUUCUGGAAGAAGAGUUGUAUAUGAUGCAACCAGAAGGUUUUAUCGAUCCAAAGGAUGCUAACAAAGUGUGCAAGCUCCAGCGAUCCAUUUAUGGACUGGUGCAAGCAUCUCGGAGUUGGAAUAAACAUUUUGAUAGUGUGAUCAAAGCAUAUGGUUUUAUACAGACUUUUGGAGAAGCCUGUAUUUACAAGAAAGUGAGUGGGAGCUCUAUAGCAUUUCUUAUAUUAUAUGUGGAUGACAUAUUGUUGAUUGGAAAUGAUAUAGAAUUUCUGGAUAGCAUAAAAGGAGACUUGAACAAGAGUUUCUCAAUGAAAUACCUCGGUGAAGCUGCUUAUAUAUUGGGCAUCAAGAUCUAUAGAGAUAUAUCAAGACACUUAAUUGGACUUUCACAAAGCACAUACCUUGAUAAAGUUUUGAAGAAGUUCAAAAUGGAUCAAGCAAAGAAAGGGUUCUUGCCUGUGUUACAAGGUGUGAAGUUGAGUUAGACUCAAUGCCCGACCACUGCAGAAGAUAGAGAGAAAAUGAAAGUCAUUCCCUAUGCUUCAGCCAUAGGUUCUAUCAUGUAUGCAAUGCUGUGUACCAGACCUGAUGUGUGUCUUGCUAUUAAUUUAGCAGGGAGGUACCAAAGUAAUCCGGGAGUGGAUCAUUGGACAGCGGUCAAGAACAUCCUGAAAUACCUGAAAAGGACUAAGGAUAUGUUUCUCGUUUAUGGAGGUGACAAAGUGUGACGCCCGGAUAAUUAAGCUACAGUGAUCCCACGCUAAUGGUGCCACGUCACCACGGUUACUGCUGCUAAUCUAUCGUUAGAUCAAAACCGGUCCAAAAUUCAAAUUCAAAGUUUGGUAAAUAAUAAAAGUUUUCAAACAUUAAAAUAAAAAUGUUCGGUUUGUACUAAAUAUUACAUAGAUAAAUAUGGUGUAGUAAACACAUUUUUAUAAAAUGCCUAAAUGAUUUAAAACAGAAAAGUAAAUAAAUAAAAGAAAAGAAAAUAUAAAAAAUAGAAAAAGGGAACCCCCUGCCCUUGGGCCUAAGGCCACAGAGACAGGCCCAGCCGGCCAGGCCCAGUUCCCCUCCCUGGUCGCUCUCCUUUCCCUUCUGUUCCCCCGGUGCGCGCCGCUACAGGGGCUCGUCGCCGCCCGACCACCUCGCCGUCCCCGCCGAACGGGAUAAGGUCUCCACCGCCCCGACGCCUCGGCCCCCUCGCCUCCCACUCGUCUGCCACCCCACUCACCUCGCCCCUCGCUCUCCAGAUCCCCUUCUCUCUCUCCCUCUCCUUCAUUUGGAGAGGAGGCCGACGCGGUCGCCGCCGUGCCUCGCCCGUCCUCGCGGCUACCGACCUCGCCGCGCCUCGCCAACCUGUCGGGGAGCUCCGCCAUCGUCCUCUCCAUCGACCGGUGGCCUCAGCUGGAGUUGGGGAGCACCGAAGUGCCGAAUCCCUUUUCGUCCACGUCUCCGGUCGUCGUCGCCCUUCUUCGGCUCCGGCGACGUCUCUACAACUCCUAAACCACCACGGGCCAUCGUGUGAGCCACUCGGUGAGCCUCUCUUCCUCCCUCAUCUCUUUGGCCGUCCUUGCACGCGCGCUAGCUACUUUCCCCAUGCGCGCCCGAACGCAGCGCCGCGGAGCUCGUCGCCGGCGAGUCUCCGGUGACCAAAUGGUCACGCGCGUAUGCCCGUUAGCCUCACCGCGUCGCGCAGCACGCGCCUAGCCCUAUCACCUGAGCUGUAGCGCGUCGUAGCUCCUUUUCUACCGUCGACCGUAGCCACUCCGCCUCGGACCUCGUCGCCGGCGACGUUUCCGACCAGGUCCGGCGAUGCCACCACUACCACUCGACGCGCGGUUGAGUGGCCGUUCGAACGCGCCUAGCCGCACCUCUUUUCGUGCCCCGUACGCGUUUUCCGUCCGUCUCCGGCGUUCGGCCGCCGCGGAGGCCUCCCCGGCGUUGCUCCGGCGCGGGCGCUGACCUGGCACGGGCAGGGCCCGCCUCUGGGUCGCUGCCCGUGGGCCCCCUGGACCCAGUUGACCACGUUGACCGUGGUCAACUAUGCUGACUGGGCACUCAGUGCCACUGACACACGGGCCCCCCGCCUAAUUAACCUAAUUAAAACAUUUUCCUAAAUAAAAAUAAUUAGCUAAACUAAUUAGUCACUGACAUGUGGGGCCCAACUGCUAAUUAACCCCUGUUCAAUUAAAAUAACCCACUGUUAACCCUCUGUCUAUGACAUAUGGGACCCACUAGUCAGUUUGACCAGUCAGCGGGUCUGUUGACCUGCUGAUGUCAUGCUGACACUCUGCUGAUGUCAUAAUUCCUUUUCUGUUAAUAUAAAUAAAUCCAAAAAAUGGUUUAAUCUUUAAAAAUUCAUAUAAAUUAAACCGUAACUCGGAUGAAAAUGUUUUCUACAUGAAAGUUGCUCAGAAAAAUCCAACGAAUCCGAGUACACGGUCCGUUCAUCUGUCACAUGCCCCUAGCAUGCUGAACAUGGAACAUUCCCCCUCCGGUCAUCUGUUUGAUACAGGUCCGGAACCGGGAAUGCAUUCCCGGUUGAAUUCCCCCUUCACCUUUAUCGUGUAACCCUACGUUAGGUCACAUCUGGCACAUCUUAUUGCCAUGUUAUGCUUUGUGGUGCUAUGUUUGCUUUAUAUUUACUGUUUCUUCCCCCUCUUCUCUCCGGUAGACCCCCGAGACCGAUGCUGCCCCUGUGAUCGACUACGUCACCGACGACCCCUCCUUGCCAGAGCAACCAGNNNNNNNNNNNNNNNNNNNNNNNNNNNNNNNNNNNNNNNNNNNNNNNNNNNNNNNNNNNNNNNNNNNNNNNNNNNNNNNNNNNNNNNNNNNNNNNNNNNNNNNNNNNNNNNNNNNNNNNNNNNNNNNNNNNNNNNNNNNNNNNNNNNNNNNNNNNNNNNNNNNNNNNNNNNNNNNNNNNNNNNNNNNNNNNNNNNNNNNNNNNNNNNNNNNNNNNNNNNNNNNNNNNNNNNNNNNNNNNNNNNNNNNNNNNNNNNNNNNNNNNNNNNNNNNNNNNNNNNNNNNNNNNNNNNNNNNNNNNNNNNNNNNNNNNNNNNNNNNNNNNNNNNNNNNNNNNNNNNNNNNNNNNNNNNNNNNNNNNNNNNNNNNNNNNNNNNNNNNNNNNNNNNNNNNNNNNNNNNNAUCGCCUAUUCUUCUCUAUACUGCUUGCAUUAGAGUAGUGUAGCAUGUUACUGCUUUCGGUUAAUCCUACUCUCUUGCAUAGCCUCUCAUUGUUGCUACAGUUGUUACCCUUACCUGCUAUCCUACUGCUUAGUAUAGGAUGCUAGUGUUCCAUCAGUGGCCCUACACUCUUGUCCGUCUGCCAUGCUAUACUACUGGGCCGUGAUCACUUCGGGAGGUGAUCACGAGUAUAUACUAUAUACUUUAUAUACAUGACACAUGUGGUGACUAAAGUCGGGUCAGCUCGUUGAGUACCCGCAAGUGAUUCUGAUGAGGGGGCUGAAAGGACAGGUGGCUCCAUCGCGGUAGAGGUGGGCCUGGGUUCCUGACGGCCCCCGACUGUUACUUUGUGACGGAGCGGCAGGGCAGGUUGAGACCGCCCAGGAGAGAGGUGGGCCUGGCCCUGGUCGGCGUCCGCGGUUACUUCAAAAUAACACGCUUAACGAGUUCUUGGUAUUUGAUCUGAGUCUGGCCAUUUGGUCUAUACGCACUAACCAACUACGCGGGGACAGUUAUGGGCACUCGACGUCGUGGUAUCAGCCGAAGCCUUCGUGACGUCAGCGACUGAGCGGCACGCGCCGCAUUGGACCGUAAGCUCGCACUUGUAGUAAGGGGGCUAGGUCUGCUUCCGGCCGCGUACGCAACGUGCAGGUGUGCAAUGGGCGAUGGGCCCAGACCCCUGCGCGCAUAGGAUUUAGACCGGCGUGCUGACCUCUCUGUUGUGCCUAGGUAGGGCUACGACGUGUUGAUCUUCCGCGGCCGGGCAUGACCCAAAAAAGUGUGUCCAGCCAAAAGGGACCGAGCGUGUUGGGUUAUGUGGUGCACCCCUGCAGGGAAGUUUAUCUAUUCGAAUAGUCGUGUCCCUCGGUAAAAGGACGACCCGGAGUUGUACCUUGACCUUAUGACAACUAGAACCGGAUACUUAAUAAAACACACCCUUCCAAGUGCCAGAUAUAACCCGGUGAUCGCUCUCUAACAGGGCGACGAGGAGGGGAUCGCCGGGUAGGUUUAUGCUAUGCGAUGCUACUUGGUGAACUUACCAUCUACUCUCUUCUACAUGCUGCAAGAUGGACGUGGCCUGAAGCGUAGUCUUUGACAGGAUUAGCUAUCCCCCUCUUAUUCUGGCAUUCUGCAGUUCAGUCCAUCGAUAUGGCCCUUUACACAUAUACCCAUGCAUAUGUAGUGUGGCUCCUUGCUUGAGAGUACUUUGGAUGAGUACUCACGAUUGCUUUUCUCCCUCUUUUCCCCCUUUCCUUUCUACCUGGUUGUCGCAACCAGAUGCUGGAGCCCAGGAGCCAGACGCCACCGCCGACGAUGACUCCUACUACACCGGAGGUGCCUACUACUACGUGCAGCCCGCUGACGACGACCGGGAGUAGUUUAGGAGGAUCCCAGGCAGGAGGCCUGCGCCUCUUUCGAUCUGUAUCCCAGUUUGUGCUAGCUUUCUUAAGGCAAACUUGUUUAACUUAUGUCUGUACUCAGAUAUUGUUGCUUCCGCUGACUCGUCUAUGAUCGAGCACUUGUAUUCGAGCCCUCGAGGCCCCUGGCUUGUAUUAUGAUGCUUGUAUGACUUAUUUAUGUUUUAGAGUUGUGUUGCGAUAUCUUCCCGUGAGUCCCUGAUCUUGAUCAUACACGUUUGCGUGCAUGAUUAGUGUACGAUUGAAUCGGGGGCGUCACACAAAGUGCUCGUCAUAAAUGGUUGCGUCGAUGAAAGCUUUUGGCACUGAUCCGGAUGACUCUAAGUCACAAACCGGAUACGUAUUUAUAUUGAACGGUGGAGCUGUCAGUUGGUGUUGUUCUAAGCAAAGCGUCGUGGCGGAAUCUACCUGUGAAGCGGAGUACAUAGCUGCUUCGGAAGCAGCAAAUGAAGGAGUCUGGAUGAAGGAGUUCAUAUCCGAUCUAGGUGUCAUACCUAGUGCAUCAGGUCCAAUGAAAAUCUUUUGUGACAAUACUGGUACAAUUGCCUUGGCAAAGGAAUCCAGAUUUCACAAGAGAACCAAGCACAUCAAGAGAUGCUUAAAUUCCAUCCGCGAUCAAGUCAAGGAGGGAGACAUAGAGAUUUGCAAGAUACAUACGGAUCUGAAUGUUGCAGACCCGUUGACUAAGCCUCUCUCACGAGCAAAACAUGAUCAGCACCAAGACACCAUGGGUGUUAGAAUCAUUACUGUGUAAUCUAGAUUACUGACUCUAGUGCAAGUGGGAGACUGAAGGAAAUAUGCCCUAGAGGAAAUAAUAAAUAUGUUAUUUAUAUUUCCUUAUAUCAUGAUAAAUGUUUAUUAUUCAUGCUAGAAUUGUAUUAGCCGGAAACUUAGUACAUGUGUGAAUACAUAGACAAACAAAGUGUCACUAGUAUGCCUCUACUUGACUAGCUCGUUGAUCAAAGAUGGUUAAGUUUCCUAGCCAUAGACAUGAGUUGUCAUGUGAUGAACGGGAUCACAUCAUUAGAGAAUGAUGUGAUUGACAAGACCCAUCCGUUAGCUUAGCACGAUGAUUGUUUAGUUUGUUGCUAUUGCUUUCUUCAUGACUUAUACAUGUUCCUAUGACUAUGAGAUUAUGCAACUCCCGAAUACCGGAGGAACACUUAGUGUGCUAUCAAACGUCACAACGUAACUGGGUGACUAUAAAGAUGCUCUAUAGGUGUCUCCGAUGGUGUUUGUUGAGUUGGCAUAGAUCGAGAUUAGGAUUUGUCACUCCGAUUGUCGGAGAGGUAUCUCUGGGCCCUCUCGGUAAUGCACAUCACUAUAAGCCUUGCAAGCAAUGUGACUAAUGAGUUAGUUACGUGAUGAUGCAUUACGGAAUGAGUAAAGAGACUUGCCGGUAACGAGAUUGAACUAGGUAUUGAGAUACCGACGAUCGAAUCUCGGGCAAGUAACAUACCGAUGACAAAGGGAACAACGUAUGUUGUUAUGCGGUUUGACCGAUAAAGAUCUUCGUAGAAUAUGUGGGAGCCAAUAUGAGCAUCCAUGUUCCGCUAUUGGUUAUUGACCGGAGAUGAGUCUCGGUCAUGUCUACAUAGUUCUCGAACCCGUAGGGUCCACACGCUUAACGUUCGAUGAUGAUCGAUAUUAUGAGUUUAUGUGUUUUGAUGUACCGAAGGUAGUUCGGAGUCCCGGAUGUGAUCACGGACAUGACGAGGAGCCUCGAAAUGGUCGAGACAUAAAGAUCGAUAUAUUGGAAGGCUAUGUUUGGACACCGGAAUGGUUCCGGAUGAGUUCGGGCAUUUUCUGGAGUACCGGGAGGUUAUCGGAACCCCCCGGGGAGUCAAUGGGCCUUACUGGGCCUUAGUGGAAGAGAGGAGGAGGCGGCCAGGUGGAGGGCGCCCCCAAGCCCAAUCCGAAUUGGGGUGGGGGCCGGCCCCCCUUUCCUUCUCUCCCUCUCCCUCUUCCUUCUUCUCCUACUCCAACUAGGAAGGGGGGAACCUACUCCUACUAGGAGUAGGACUCCCCCCUUGGGUGCGCCCUAUGAGGGCCGACCCUCUCCUCCUCCCCUCCUUUAUAUAUGGGGGAAGGGGCACCCCAUAGACACACAAGUCAACAGUUGUUUUAGCCGUGUGCGGUGCCCCUCUCCACAGAUAUCCACCUCGGUCAUAUCGUUGUAGUGCUUAGGCGAAGCCCUGCGUUGGUAACUUCAUCAUCACCAUCAUCACGCCGUCGUGCUGAGGAAACUCUCCCUCGGCCUCAGCUGGAUCAAGAGUACGAGGGACGUCACCGAGCUGAACGUGUGCAGAUCGCGGAGGUGCCGUGCGUUCGGUACUUGAUCGGUUGGAUCGCGAAGACGUCCAACUACAUCAACCGCGUUACUUAACGCUUCCGCUUUCGGUCUACGAGGGUACGUGGACACACUCUCCCGCUCGUUGCUAUGCAUCACAUAGAUAGAUCUUGCGUGAUCGUAGGUAAAUUUUUUGAAAUACUGCGUUCCCCAACACUCUGUAGUGUUACACUACGAACGUUAACAACUCAUAGCUGAAAUCCAAGGCGAAACUCAGGUGGAUCGUUCAUUGCCCAAUGGAGUUCUCGGCAUAACAUCAAAAGAGGUGAUGAAAUCACAUUUACGCGCGUGAACACACAUAUAGUGACAAGGCCAUGGCACUAGCGAGAAGUUGAAGCACCAUGUAUAGAAAUGUAAACCAGAUUUUGACAUAAUCUCGAUCACCUUUCAACUGCGUUCUUCUGUAAAACUCUAUCCAUAAGUACUAUUAAAUCUAUCAAAAUUAACACUAAGGGGUUGAGUAUCACUAAUAUCAUCUUCUCUACAUUUUUUUCUCAACACCUAGUCUUUCUAGAGACUUCCCAUAUGCAUGUUUAUUCUUUGUUAACGUCACCUUCUUUUUAAAACAAGUCCCAAGAUAAGUCUUGGUAGAGCAAAUGUUCUAAAUUAUUUAUCUACAAGAACAAAACCUUUGUUUUAACCAUCAAGACCUACUCCCACUCGAAUACUUCACACAUGCUACUACGACAACCAUUCUAAGUAAUUUAAGUGACCACUUUGGCCUUCAAAGCUAGGUUGGGCUUCUUCACUCGAUGGGCACGAGCGAGAGCGUUGUUGGCGGUCUAUCCCAAGAUUCCCAGGGAGAUGAACUCAUCCAACACAUCAUUGGACGACAUGGUGUGGAAGUCCAGUCUUUGGUGAAUCAUAGAAGAAGUGCUCUUGUUGGAAGUCAUGAUCGCCUUAAGAAACUUGCACUUGAUCGAACUGUCAUCCAUGCCCCUGCUCCCAUUAUCCCUUAGAGAGACUGCAAGAUCCGUUAACGUACUAUAAAGCUCUUCUGGGGUCUCAUCCUUGUUCAUGACAAACUCAUCGACUUCAUCUUGAAUGCCAUCAAACUUGGAGUAUUGAAUGCUCAAGCUAUCGUUCAACAAAGUGUUCAGGUGGUCUCAAGCAUCCUUUGCGGUCACAAAGGGACAGAUGUGGGGAAGAUGCUCGGAUGACAGAGGUUUAUGAAUGAUGAACAAAUCAAACACAUUGAGUUUCUUGUCCACUUCUUCUCUUGGAGUCAAGUUUUCUCUUGGAUCGUAGAGUUUGAACCCUUCUUCAAUGAUUCUCCCAAUUUGCGUCGAAGAAGUACUAAUAUGAGACUACAUAAGCAAAACCAAGUUAGUAAAAUUAGAAGUAUCUAAUUGAGGAGGCGUGCCGAGGUGAGUGAUACAAGGUGAGGGAACUGUGCCACCAUAGACAAUUGGUGGGGAGUAACGCGGAAUGAGCACCCGACCCAUUUUUCCCUUGUGAAGGGUCAGGCGUCAAACCACUACCCCCCUCCUUGGAGGAGUUAGCAUCUGAUUCCAAUGGAAUAACAUCCACCAUUUUUCUCAGAAGUAGUGAUGGUAUUAGACAUGCCUAAUAGGAAUUUAUCCAACAUGUCUUGUACUUUGUCCACCAUAGAUGUAUUAAGUGAAGUCAUUGUUUCAUUCAGCUCAUCUCAAGUGAUCGAAGUACUAUCCACGUCAGCAAGGAUUUCGCCUUUCCAUUCCUCUGUGGCAACCAUACUCUUUAGGCGAUCAAGCCCUUAAUAAAGAGAAGAGGAUCUGAUAUCAAUCGAAAGGAUCAAGAUGGUUGACUGGAGGGGUGGGGUGGGGUGAAUAUGAGACGAACAUUUUUUUCAAUUUUAGUGAAACAACAAAAAAUAGGUUAUCUAGAUAAGCAACUAGGUGAACAACCUACAUGACAAGCUCAACUACAACAACAAGUUAGUACAGAUACAAAUUAAAGCAAGCUUGUAAUAAAUAAGUAGAGAUAAGAAGUAGCCGCAAGUAAGACGUUGACGUAGUUCACCAAGCACCACAAUGGCUCACCCUAUUCUCCUCGCGCCCUCGCACAAUGCAAGGUGUCAUAUUCCACUAUGCGGUGCCCUUGAAAGACAGCAACCAGAACCUUUACAAUCAAGGUUGAGGCAGACUGCACAACUUAAUUGGAGGCUCCAACACCAAAUGGAUUGUGGUUUCGAGAUGACCUAUUCCAUCUAGGGUGCACAAACACCCAACAAUAACAAGAUCCAUACGAUAAAGUAGAGGGGUGUCGAAUUUCCUUUGUUGGAAGCCUAGAAAUAGCUCGUGUCCCUCAAAUCCUAGAAGAUCAACAAGUUUGAGUUGCUAGGGAGCAAGAUCGGGCAAUAUUUCGCUUUUGGCAACAAUGGAGGAGAGAAAGAGGCAAGAGGUAAGAAUAAAGGAGGAAGAAACUCCUCCUUAUAUAGCUCUCCCAAAUCCAACCAUUAUGUCAAGUUUUGAACUAAGUGGUAGUAUCGACUACAUAGCUCCACCAAAGGCCCCUUCAAGUUGCAACGCGAAAGCCUGAGCCAUACUAUUGCUCCAAAUUGCGGUAGUACUGGCUAUAUGAAAAUAGUUGGUAUUAUCAUGGAAGUGCCUCCUUGGUGCCAGUGUCUAGCGUAGUGCCGCUCCUACAAAGGGAGCGGUACUUCCAUACCAGAAUGCGGUGUUAGCAACCCACUAGCUGAGUUGUAGCAUAAUGGACGGAGCGACACUACCUCUCUGGACGCCGAUAGUGUUGGCUAUUGAAAAAUAGUCGGUACUACCGUGGUGUUACCGCCUAACAACCGCUGCCAAAACAAAGGAGGAAUCAUCUCUCGGUGGUGGUAGGUCCGAUACUGGGAGUGGUAGUGCCGCUCCAACAUGGGAGUGGUACCGCCGCUUUAGUGCACGGUACUAACGCCCCGGGUGCCAUCAGAGUACUACUCCCGCAAGAGGAGCGAUACUAUCGCAAGGCAUAACGGUACUACCGGGUGUACAAAGACAACAUCAUGGUAGAAUCUAAGACUCUCCUCGAAACUGAUGGGAAGGUAAUGUGAGUGCAAUAUAUGUUGUGUGUUCGUGUUUGAUUCCACCCACACCUUCCAACGCGGACCCCCUCUUAAUAGUACAUAUUUCCUACGACCAUAAAAACAAAAGCGUCGAAACCUGUGUUUUCAAUCUUUUCUUUCUAUAGGGGUACCUAACCGUCUUGUGCCACUAUUGAAUAUGCCUUUGUAGUUCAAACAAAUGAUUAGUCCGCAAAUUGUGUUGCCAUCAACACCAAAAUCACUUACGGAGGGAAAUGCCCUUGACACCUGAGUUGUCCCGUCACAUUUACCAAUUACACAAUCCAAUCAACUAAAACUCAUUGCACAACCAUAACCACCAGAAAAAUAAAAAAAAGAUGUAGGGGGGAAACAUGUGGGUCCUUUAUAUAUGAAUCAUUUGUGGACUUUUGUGGAAGAUGAAAUGAGCUACUUCGUCCGUCUAGGUGUAUAGGGCACGCAUGUAAUUUUAGGUCAUCGAUUUUACUAACUAAAUACUAUCGGUUAUAUGUCAUCAAAAGUAUAUCAUUGGAUUCAAAUGCGGAUGUAGUUUUUAAACAUAUUUUUAUCACAUAUAAUACAUAUUUAAUUAGCUAGCUAAAUUGUUGACAUAAAACUAUACGCAUUACGCGCAUGCAAAUAGUACUCAAAAUCUCUCUACCUCAUAACUCUCCCCAAAGAUGACCAUAUAUAUAGCCAUCCAUUUUUCAGUCCAUAAGAAAACUGGCUAGACUUCUUGGUCAAUUAGCUUAUUUGAUUGAAUUGACUUCUCAAAACUUAGCCUUCACGGUACUUUUUGGCUAGGAUAGAAGUUUGCUUGCCAAAGGACGCUUGCAUGCCAAGCUUGCUCGGUUGAGAGCUCGACCGUUGAUCGAGAUGUCUACUACCAUGAGCCAACACGUUAUCCUCACAAGUUUCUCUAGAGACACGUGGUUUCAUAGCAAAGGAAAGUCGGACAUCGCUGAUAUCCUCCUCCUCUCUGACUGAACGGGCCAACCAGCUACAACCGGCCGUAGGCCCAAGAGGUAGAGCGAAGCGAGCCAUACAGCAAAGGCCCGGCCCAACUCUCGAGCCAGGGGAAACCCUAAUCCCCCCAGAGCUAUAAGGCGCCGCCAGCGCCGCAUUUCCCCAACCCUUGCGCCACAACCAGACGGGAGGAGGAGAGCGGCGGCGAAGAUGGUGUCGCUGAAGCUGCAGAAGCGCCUGGCCUCGAGCGUCCUCAAGUGCGGCAAGGGCAAGGUCUGGCUCGACCCCAAUGAGGUCAACGAGAUCUCCAUGGCCAACUCCCGUAAGCGCCUCCCCCUCUCACUCGCUCGUCGCGCGACUCGAUUGUCUCGCGUGUUUCGUAGAUCUGUGGCCGAGGCGGCGAUCCGCGAGGUUUAGGUUGUUCGAGGCGGGUAGAGCUCUGAUUGCUUGUGCUGCGCCUGCUCAUAGAUCGGAUGAACAGCCUCGUGUUCUUCGGGUAGCUGAGUAUUUAGACGAAACAUCAUACAGCUGACCACUCUAUGGGUUUGAUUUUGUGCUGAGCUACCGUGAUAGCUAUGGGACGGCGUCUCAGGUAGCAGAUGAAUCGUCGAUUCAUGUAGAUGCUUCGUUUGGAUUGAGUCUGCACGCAUGUUCUCAACUUAUGUUGCGUAGUUUAUGCAUCUUGCAGUGUAUUUAGUGUUAAAUAUACUGGCUUGUAUGCGUAAAUUGCUGAAUUUUGUAGUACGAAUCCAUGUUGGUACCACUCGAGCUUAAUGUAAUUGUUUGUGCAUACAGUAUAAUAUUAUGGGGGUCUCUUCAUGUGAUGAAUAGGUUUCCUCUGUGGGGUACUGGUAAACUGCAAGAGUUUGAACCUAGUUUAAGAAAUCCCGCUUGCACUUGUAAACCCUACUAACCUAUCCAUAGUACAAGUUGAGUCAUAAGUUCUCCAUUAGCUUAACCAUGGUAACUCGUGAGUUAUUCUGCUGAUGAAGCUAAAAGAGUUGCUUGUUCUGAUGUUCCUUUACCUAAACGUGCAAUUAUAACUUCUAACGAUGAAGCUGGUUUCAGUGUUCAUUUAUCUUCAUGUGCACUAACACAAUACAUCAUUGUUGGAUUGUACCGUACAGGUUGCUCUGUUAGCCUAAACCAUGAUAACUCCACACAUAUGUUUUUCCAGUGACAGAGUACUGCUUUAGGUGUUACUUUACCUUUGUAAUUCAUGUACCAGCUGUCUUGUCUGUUAAGGUUCAAUUGUUGCUUUGUUUUGUGAAUGUUAAUCUCAUGGACCUAGCUCCUUAUGCUGUUCCUCGGUUUGUAUUAAUAAACAUGUAGUUCACAUGCACUUAAAUGUCUGGUUAUUGCAAUCACAUCCAUUCUUCUGUUUUAUGUUGUUUGUUUAUAAUAGGCCAUUCUUGUGUUUGUUUUAACUCUUGUGUGUAAUUUGUACCUGUACUGUUGUUUCAAUCCAUUGGUGCUCUUCAUUCUUCAUUAUGCUGUGUCUAUUGAUUCCUAACUGAGCAUAACUGUGAUUUAUUGUUUGAUUAAUACUUGCAGGGCAGAACAUCCGGAAGCUGGUGAAGGAUGGUUUCAUCAUCAGGAAGCCUCAGAAGAUCCACUCCAGGUCUCGUGCAAGGAGGGCACAUGAGGCCAAGCAGAAGGGCCGUCACUCUGGAUAUGGUUAGAAGCUGCAACUUUAAUUGGAAUGAUAGUAUUCGUUAUUGUAGAUAAUUGUGUUGUGACCUGUGAUUCUGCUCUCUGCACAGGUAAGCGUAGGGGUACCAGGGAGGCUAGGCUCCCCACCAAGAUCCUGUGGAUGCGGAGGAUGCGCGUCCUCAGGCGCCUUCUGCGCAAGUACCGUGAGGCCAAGAAGAUCGACAAGCACAUGUACCAUGACAUGUACCUGAAGGUCAAGGGUAACAUGUUCAAGAACAAGAGGGUCCUCAUGGAGAGUAUCCACAAGUCCAAGGCUGAGAAGGCAAGAGAGAAGACCCUCUCUGACCAGUUCGAGGCCAAGCGCGCCAAGAGCAAGGCAAGCAGGGAGAGGAAGAUUGCCAGGAGGGAGGAGAGAUUGGCUCAGGUAAGAUGAUGUUUUCACUUUGCCUGUGUAUGAGGUCCUGCAUUGUAUUCUUACUGAAAUACAAGAUGUUUAAUUGUUUACACAUCUCACCUAAGAAUUAAGCAUUUGACUUCCACCUCUUUACUCUCUCUAUAAGCGGGGCUUACUCUACAAUGGUGACAUUUGUCUGUCGAUCUUAGAUAGCAGACUGUUCAGAGCUGGAUGUUAAUGUUGAAUAUAGUGCUACCAUACAUGAUUGAUUUUGCUACUACUGUUGUAUUACCGGUGUUUUUUUUUAUUGGCACAAUUUGGCUAACUUGUACUAUCUGGCAAACAGGGCCCGAGAGAUCAUGCACCAGCACCAGCGGCUGCAGCUCCCGCUCAGGCAGCAGCGUAAGUACCUCCAAAAGCUUUCUCCACAUGGUUGAUGUGUUUUGUUCCGUUUAUCUUACCUUCUCUGAUUUGCAUUUGUCUACAGGGCACCAAAGAAGGCCAAGAAGUGAAGGUCUGACAUGAAGCUUUAGCUUUCUGGUACUAUUAAGGGUUAGCCUAAUUUUGGAACAUCAGAAGUUCAGAACUGUUUUCUGUGCAAUAUCUUGUUUGUGUCAGCGUGUCAGAUACCUUAAAUAUCAUAUCGUGUUUGUUCUGUUGGAUGUUUCAGAGAUGCUUAUGCAGAGUUUGUUAAAACAUUUAUAUUAUGCUUUUGAACCUAGUUUACUCAUUCUGUGCGUGCAAAUUUACGUGCUCUGAUGAUGAUGAUCGUAUGCAGUGGUAAUUCUUUUGAUGCGUUCAGAUCGAUAGUAGUCUAUUUAUCAAGGAAGAGUAUCUUAUUCAGUGUUUCGACGUAAAGUGAACGUAUUCCAUGAAUAUGA